rfam:Oryza sativa (indica cultivar-group) chromosome 1, whole genome shotgun sequence.
AAAAAGGUAAACCCUAGGUUUACGUGUCCAACUUUGACUGUCCGUCUUAUAUGAAAUUUUUUUAUAAUUCGUAUUUUCAUUGUUGUUAGAUGAUAAAACAUGAUUAAUAUUUUAUGUGUGAUUUGUCUUUUUAUUUUUUUCAUAAUUUUUUCAAAUAAGACAGACGGUCAAACGUUGGACACGGAAACCAGGGUUUGUCUUUUU